rnacentral:tRNA from 1 species
AGGGGAGUAGCUCAAUUGGCAGAGCGGCGGUCUCCAAAACCGUAGGUUGCGGGUUCAAGUCCUGUCUCCCCUGCCA